rnacentral:rRNA from 1 species
UACGGAGGGUGCGAGCGUUGUCCGGAAUCACUGGGCGUAAAGGGCUCGUAGGCGGUUUGUCGCGUCGGGAGUGAAAACUCAGGGCUUAACCCUGAGCCUGCUUCCGAUACGGGCAGACUAGAGGUAGGUAGGGGAGAACGGAAUUCCCGGUGUAGCGGUGAAAUGCGCAGAUAUCGGGAGGAACACCGGUGGCGAAGGCGGUUCUCUGGGCCUUACCUGACGCUGAGGAGCGAAAGCGUGGGGAGCGAACAGG